GCCGGGGUGGCGGAACGGCAGACGCGGCGGACUUAAAAUCCGCUGGGCUUCGGCCCGUGUGGGUUCGACUCCCACCCCCGGCA
rnacentral:tRNA from 2 species